rnacentral:rRNA from 1 species
GAUGAACGCUGGCGGCGUGCUUAACACAUGCAAGUCGAACGGUGAACACGGAGCUUGCUCUGUGGGAUCAGUGGCGAACGGGUGAGUAACACGUGAGCAACCUGCCCCUGACUCUGGGAUAAGCGCUGGAAACGGCGUCUAAUACUGGAUACGAGUAGCGACCGCAUGGUCAGUUACUGGAAAGAUUUAUUGGUUGGGGAUGGGCUCGCGGCCUAUCAGCUUGUUGGUGAGGUAAUGGCUCACCAAGGCGUCGACGGGUAGCCGGCCUGAGAGGGUGACCGGCCACACUGGGACUGAGACACGGCCCAGACUCCUACGGGAGGCAGCAGUGGGGAAUAUUGCACAAUGGGCGCAAGCCUGAUGCAGCAACGCCGCGUGAGGGAUGACGGCCUUCGGGUUGUAAACCUUCUUUUAGCAGGGAAGAAGCGAAAGUG